CCCUACGGGGCGCAGCAGGGGAAUCUUCUACAAUGGGCGAAAGCCUGAUGGAGCGACGCCGCGUGAGCGAAGAAGGCCUUCGGGUUGUAAAGCUCUUUCUGGUGGGACGAAGAAAGUG
rnacentral:rRNA from 1 species